UGCAGCUGUGUUAGGUGUUUUGUCGAAGAUCCUGCUUACUGUAUAAAUCUUCACUGGUCACUCAAGGACUGUUGUUGAGGAAGAGCUUUCUUGCCAUGCAGCCCAAAUCCUACUUUAAAGAACCAGUUCUUCUGAGACGCUCUCAACUUCCAGCGACAAGUGGUGUUAACCAUAACAACAGACAAACUCAAGGAGAGAGGUGUGUAAAUUGUUGUGCUAUACGAACAUUUUUCCCAGAGAAAUUCUGGUUUAUCACACAAACCUGUAAAUAUGUAUUUACAAUUUUGAAAGCACGUCUUUAUGUCCCUGAUUGUAAAUGCUCCGUUUUUAAAGUUUUAUAAUGUGUGUUACUCAACCAAGAGACCACAGCACACAGCUUUAGGUUGUACUGGUCUAUCUGAAAGAUCCAUUACAGUCUAAGCUGUGGUAGAAAAAUAUUUGUGCCACUGACAAGAAAUAACCCAUUGUUGCACCAGACUUUUCAUCAUUUUCCCUCAGAUGACAAACACAUUUUUUUGGGGAGGGUGGGGGAGUUGAUUUUUCUUGUAGGAAAAAUGAGUUCAAAAUGGUGUCAUUUCUCUAGAACGAUGAGGAUAUUUUCUUCACAGUAAAUUCAGGAAAGUAUGCCAUUUUUUUCCAAGGCAGAAUUUCACAGUUUUGCAGCAAAUUUUUAACCUCCCCCGUGCCUGCUGAUGAAACGUGAAAUUUUGCCCUUGACUAAUAUCACAAGUUCUUGUGAAAAUUCAAGGAGAGGGUGGGGAAAAAGCUCAGGUUCUGCAUGUAGGAAUUUGCGAGGCUGACACCGGUAGCUCUGCAGUGCUCUCCUGACAAUGCUGAUGUUGAGAAGUUUAUGAAAAAUAAACUGUGUGGAGACGUGGUAUUAGCUGGUUGGUGCUUGGAUGCUGAACAUUGCUCUGGAAGACUGAAAGCUCUGUUGUCUGUCUGCCAUGUAAAGAAAAAGAACAACAAUAAAUUAAUGUUACAAACUGCACCAUGGAAAUAUUUGUUAUUUGAGCAAAGGAAGUCUUCAAAAUGGAGCUGCAGCCUAUUCUGGCUGCAAAAUAGGUGAGUGAUUUGGGGUUUUACAGGUGGGUGGCAGGAGAAGAGAAGGAAGAUGGAAGUGUCACUUUGCCUGCCAGGCUCUGUCCAUGCUAUCAGUGAUUGCAGCAGACUGAGCUCUCCUGAUGCUUCAGGCUCCAGGUGGACACAGGUGGAUGAGCAGCACCUUUGUAUUUUGGACUCUCCAUUCGACCCCAAAGCUCUUGGUGAGCCUUUGCAGCACUGAGGAAUCGACACAGAGCAGUGCAGUUCAGGAGGCUGCUGUCCCCUCCAGGAGGUGAACGUGUGGGCAGGGCA
rnacentral:lncRNA from 1 species